ensembl:lncRNA
CCUUGAGCAAGCAGAGGCCUUGAGAAGAGGAACUGCACGUUAACUUUUGCUUUUGGUGACCAACACACUCAGAAGCCCCAUUUUAGAUCCACACAAGAACAACAGCACUGUGCUAUAGCUUGGCUCUUCAGAGCUGCCCACCUUCAACAAUGGCCAAAAGCCAGAACUUGCAGGAGAAAGGUAUUAAGAGCUGCGCAGUCACUGUAAGACUUCCCGAAACACCCAAACAGUCCAAAGGUCAGGACUUUCCCUCUUUGGCGGUGAUGGCUCUGUUUGCACAACACAGCAGAAACACGUGCAUGUCUGUAAACAUCACUGACUCCUGGAACAACUCUGCUCUGGCUCUUCUUGACUAUGAAGUUUCAUAACUACCAUGCAGCUUCCUCACUUGAACCUGAAGGCCACGAUGAUUUCCUUCAGAACACGGGUGGAGAACUCACAUCUCUUCAGUGCUCACAGUGCAGGCAUUGAAUGGCACGGAGAAAAAGGGUUGAUCGUUGUGCUGCCAUUCAGUGCAAUAUGAGUAGACUGGAGAAAUGAGCCAACAGGAACCUCAUGAAGCUCCACCACAGGAAAUGCCAAGUCUUGCCUCUGGGGAGGCCCCCUACACUCCCUGUCCCUCACAAGUAGCAGGAAGCAGUAAGCUCAGGAAUUCAAGCCACCUAAGCACAUCACAGUGCUUCGAGCUGACUGGCUUGUAGAACAGCUUGUGCAGAAAGCUCUUAACUCCAGUAGUUCAGUAUCUGGUAUUUUUCUGCUUCUACCGCUUAAAUGUUUUCAUUACUCUACUAAGACUAUCAGUAUAUGAAAAGAAAUCUGAUUUUUGGGUGGUGCUGUGUGGAGCCAGGAGUUGGAUUCGAUGACCCUUGUGGGUCCCUUCCAACUCCAAAUGUUCUGCAGUUCCAUGAAAAAGGCAUCUAAUUGCUGCACGAUCAGAAGUACACCUUGUAACUCAUUUUCUGGGAAACUGGAAAAUAAGAACACUGAAG